ACGGGGGGUGCAAGCGUUGUUCGGAAUUAUUGGGCGUAAAGGGCGUGUAGGCGGCUUGGCAAGUCAGAUGUGAAAGCCCUGGGCUUAACCCAGGAAGUGCAUUUGAAACUGCCUAGCUUGAGUAGGGGAGAGGAAAGUGGAAUUCCUGGUGUAGAGGUGAAAUUCGUAGAUAUCAGGAGGAACACCGGUGGCGUAGGCGACUUCCUGGCUCUAUACUGACGCUGAGCCGCGAGAGCGUGGGUAGCAAAUAG
rnacentral:rRNA from 1 species